AUCGCAAGGCGACACAUUUCGUAAACAGAUUUAGUUAGUAGAUCUUACAUCUUGCAGCACACUGGCCAUACACUGCAUUGCAGACACAAAUUCCAUUCUCCUGCAAGAGAGAGAGAGAGAGAGAGAUGAAGGAGGAAAUAUAUUUUAAAUUGCAAAAAAACAAGAUCAAAUAGAUCACUCGAUCGAUAGAACAACCAAUGGGGCCCCCAGGCCUCAAUUUAGAUCGGACUGGAGAGCUAACAUUUUCCCCAUUCAUUCCCAUUCAGAGACUGUUAUUUACAGUUACUUUUACGCAUACUUCUUGAUCAAGAAAGGUAGAGACCAGCAGAAAAUGCUAGAAAAAUAAAUAAACUCAAACGCGCCUGGAAUAAAUUUUUGUG